UACGAGGGGGGCGAGCGUUGUUCGGAAUUAUUGGGCGUAAAGGGUGCGUAGGCGGUUUGGUAAGUCUCGUGUGAAAUCUACAGGCUCAACUUGUAGUCUGCACGAGAAACUGCCGGGCUUGAGUGUGGGAGAGGCGAGUGGAAUUCCUGGUGUAGCGGUGGAAUGCGCAGAUAUCAGGAGGAACACCGAUGGCGAAGGCAGCUCGCUGGGACGGUACUGACGCUGAGGCGCGAAAGCGUGGGGAGCGAACAGG
rnacentral:rRNA from 1 species